CAGCCAGGUAGCGUGAAGGAUGACUGCCCUACGGGUUGUAAACUUCUUUUAUGCGGGAAUAAAGUGCGCCACGUGUGGCGUUUUGUAUGUACCGCAUGAAUAAGCAUCGGCUAAUUCCGUGCCAGCAGCCGCGGUAAUACGGAAGAUGCGAGCGUUAUCCGGAUUUAUUGGGUUUAAAGGGAGCGUAGGCGGACGCUUAAGUCUGCGGUAAAAUGUCGAUGCUCAACAUCGGCCUGCCGUGGAAACUGGGUGUCUUGAAUGUGCACAAGGUGGAUGGAAUUCGUGGUGUAGCGGUGAAAUGCUUAGAUAUCACGAAGAACUCCGAUUGCGAAGGCAGUCCACUGGGGCAUGAUUGACGCUGAGGCUCGAAAGUGCGGGAAUCAAACAGGAUUAGAUACCCUGGUAGUCCGCACCGUAAACGAUGAAUGCUCGUUAUGGGCGAUAUACAGUCCGUGACCAAGCGAAAGCAUUAAGCAUUCCACCUGGGGAGUACGCCGGCAACGGUGAAACUCAAAGGAAUUGACGG
rnacentral:rRNA from 1 species